rnacentral:tRNA from 1 species
GCCUGGAUGGCUCAGUCGGUUGAGCGUCCGACUUCGGUUCAGGUCAUGAUCUUACGGUUUGUGGGUUCGAGUCCCGUGUCAGGCU